GGUAAGUUUAAUUUGAAUGGUCAUCUUAUUUAAUGCAGAUGCACGCAAUAAUGAAAAUCCAUUUUUUAUGCAUCAGGAAAGCUGAAUGGCAGAAAUAAAUAUGCCCGCUUGUCUGCUUGUACGUUUUCAGUUUCUUGUUAGCUGGAGGGAGAAUACUGUUAAAGGCAAUGGGUAUCUGGCAGUAAUCUACGUGGGUAUGUAUGAUGGAUUGGAAACUGUCUUAGCCAGUGGCUGAAUGGCGAAAAGAAAAACUGAGAUCAAAAGUUCCAUGUCCUCGUACUGGACAAGUUGGCCCAAGUGUGGACAAUGAAUUUAGAAGGAGCCGCCUAGGUUAAACCAUUCUUAAAUCCCAAAAUUUAUCCCAGUUAUAUGAACCUAUUGGUAUUCGUAGGGAAGAGCUUGCAUCAAUUAAAAUCAAAUUGAGAUUAAAACCUUUUAUCUGGUUCUGAAUCCUUAAUAUUGAAUUUUGAAUCUAAUUACAGCCGAAA